rnacentral:lncRNA from 1 species
UCCAAAUCUUUUGAGAGCCUUUUCAAAACAGAAACGAAACUUUGUACGUUAGAAGUAACCUUUGUGUGCAUCAUCUUGGCAUAUGCAUCAUGGCAUGGUUUUUGUAUUGAAUGUUGUGUUUAUUGUGUGUGUUUCUUUUAUUUUAGAUUGUGUGGAGUGUAUUUCUUGUUGUUGCGAAGAGUGCGAGAACUACCACAACCUUGGACAAGGCAAGUUCACUUUGAUCAUAUCCCAUUAUUAUUGUUGUUUUAAAAUACUUAUGCAUUAGUGUUGUUGGUAGAGAUGCAUUGAUAGGACUAUUACUCGUACCUCUAUGCUAGCUAUAAAUCCCAGGUAGUAUAGUUUACCCUCGCCAUUACCUUGCUACCAAAUUGCCAUCGAUUGUAGUUUGAAUGCUAAGCUAUGGUAGUAUCGUGGGGGAAAUAACUACAUUAUGAUAUUGUUAUGCCUUUGGCUAUAUGAAAUGUUUUGUUAGAUGUAAGGCAAAACAACUAAUUCAAUGAACCAUCCUGGGUGGGCUGCUUUGAGGAUUUUGAGGAUUAGCGGCGUCAGGUC